AAGCAUAUCAAUAAGCGGAGGAAAAGAAACCAACAGGGAUUGCCCUAGUAACGGCGAGUGAAGCGGCAACAGCUCAAAUUUGAAAUCUGGCGCAAGCCCGAGUUGUAAUUUGUAGAGGAUGCUUCUGGGUAGCGACCGGUCUAAGUUCCUUGGAACAGGACGUCAUAGAGGGUGAGAAUCCCGUAUGUGACCGGCCCGCACCCUUUACGUAGCUCCUUCGACGAGUCGAGUUGUUUGGGAAUGCAGCUCUAAAUGGGAGGUAAAUUUCUUCUAAAGCUAAAUACCGGCCAGAGACCGAUAGCGCACAAGUAGAGUGAUCGAAAGAUGAAAAGUACUUUGGAAAGAGAGUUAAAAAGCACGUGAAAUUGUUGAAAGGGAAGCGCCUGCAAUCAGACUUCGCGGCAGUGUUCCGCCGGUCUUCUGACCGGUUUAUUCUCUGUCGCGAGGCCAUCAUCGUCUCGGCCCGCUGGAUAAGACCUUGGGAAUGUAGCUCACCUUCGGGGGAGUGUUAUAGCUCAUGGUGAUGCAGCGAGGCUGGGGCGAGGUCCGCGCUUCGGCAAGGAUGAUGGCGUAAUGGUUGUCGGCGGCCCGUCUUGAAACACGGACCAAGGAGUCUAACAUCUAUGCGAGUGUUCGGGUGUCAAACCCCUACGCGUAAUGAAAGUGAACGGAGGUGGGAACCGCAAGGUGCACCAUCGACCGAUCCUGAUGUCCUCGGAUGGAUUUGAGUAAGAGCAUAGCUGUUGGGACCCGAAAGAUGGUGAACUAUGCCUGAAUAGGGUGAAGCCAGAGGAAACUCUGGUGGAGGCUCGCAGCGGUUCUGACGUGCAAAUCGAUCGUCAAAUUUGGGUAUAGGGGCGAAAGACUAAUCGAACCAUCUAGUAGCUGGUUCC
rnacentral:rRNA from 1 species